rnacentral:rRNA from 1 species
CUUCAGUGCUGCAGCUAACGCAUUAAGCAUUCCGCUGGGGAGUACGGCCGCAAGGCUGAAACUCAAAGGAAUUGACGGGGGCCCGCACAAGCGGUGGAGCAUGUGGUUUAAUUCGAAGCUACGCGAAGAACCUUACCAGGUCUUGACAUACUAUGCAAAUCUAAGAGAUUAGACGUUCCCUUCGGGGACAUGAAUACAGGUGGUGCAUGGUUGUCGUCAGCUCGUGUCGUGAGAUGUUGGGUUAAGUCCCGCAACGAGCGCAACCCUUAUUAUCAGUUGCCAGCAUUAAGUUGGGCACUCUGGUGAGACUGCCGGUGACAAACCGGAGGAAGGUGGGGAUGACGUCAAAUCAUCAUGCCCCUUAUGACCUGGGCUACACACGUGCUACAAUGGAUGGUACAACGAGUUGCGAACUCGCGAGAGUAAGCUAAUCUCUUAAAGCCAUUCUCAGUUCGGAUUGUAGGCUGCAACUCGCCUACAUGAAGUCGGAAUCGCUAGUAAUCGCGGAUCAGCAUGCCGCGGUGAAUACGUUCCCGGGCCUUGUACACACCGCCCGUCACACCAUGAGAGUUUGUAACACCCAAAGUCGGUGGGGUAACCUUUAGGAACCAGCCGCCUAAGGUGGGACAGAUGAUUAGGGUGAAGUCGUAACAAGGUAACCA